rnacentral:rRNA from 1 species
UACGUAGGGUGCGAGCGUUAAUCGGAAUUACUGGGCGUAAAGCGUGCGCAGGCGGUUUUGUAAGCCAGAUGUGAAAUCCCCGGGCUUAACCUGGGAAUGGCAUUUGGGACUGCAAGGCUAGAGUGCGGCAGAGGGGACUGGAAUUCCUGGUGUAGCAGUGAAAUGCGUAGAUAUCAGGAGGAAUACCGAUGGCGAAGGCAGGUCCCUGGGUUAACACUGACGCUCAUGCACGAAAGCGUGGGGAGCAAACAGG